rnacentral:rRNA from 1 species
GAUUAACGCUAGCGGCAGGCAUAAUACAUGCAAGUUGAACGGGAUUAGUUUAGCAAUAGACUAUGAGGGUGGCGCACGGGUGCGUAACACGUAUGCAACCUGCCCUUGACUGGAGAAUAGCCUCUCGAAAGAGAGAUUAAUGUUCCAUAACAUAAUGAUAGAGCAUUCUAUUAUUAUCAAAGCUCCGGCGGUCAAGGCUGGGCAUGCGGUUGAUUAGCUAGUUGGUGAGGUAACGGCUCACCAAGGCGACGAUCAAUAGGGGGUCUGAGAGGAUGUCCCCCCACACUGGUACUGAGAUACGGACCAGACUCCUACGGGAGGCAGCAGUAGGGAAUAUUGGUCAAUGGAGGCAACUCUGAACCAGCCAUGCCGCGUGCAGGAAGACUGCCCUAUGGGUUGUAAACUGCUUUUGUACGGGAAGAAACCUUCGAAUGCGUUCGAAGUUGACGGUACCGUGAGAAUAAGGAUCGGCUAACUUCGUGCCAGCAGCCGCCGUAAGAC